CAUCAGCUACACUCUAGGCAGCCUGUUCAACGAAGAGGCUGUGAAGAUGAGCCAGUCCCGUGUGGACCCCACACACGAGGCUCCGGCAGCUCUGCGUGAGGGAGGGACACACAGUACAAAGGUUUACAUAAACGGUGUGACCUGGGGACAAUUAGAACAGGACCUGGCACAUGAAACUCGAUAAGCACUGUUGAGGAAGAGAAGGAAUCUGCCAAAUUUACAUUUUUUUCUUUCACACUGACUAACUGUAGGCAAAUGUUUGUGAAGGUGCUGACGGCCAUCCUACUGAGCAUCGGCUGAGUCUCCGGUGUGAAGACUACCCAGUACCAGGAUCUCUCACUUGGGAAAUGAGAUUCCAUCAAAGAAGGUAACCCCUCCUCCAGUUUACCAACUGGGCUUCCUGGGAACGGGAAAUAAAGAUGUGCAGCUCUUCAACCUAACAGUUUAAAAAGGUACGAGAAAGCAAUGAUCAUCUCCCUUAAAACAAGGACGCCUUUGGGAGAGUGGUCAUGCCAUCAGGAUGCCAGGGGAUCUUUGAACACAGGUGCCCAGGGUUAGGAGAUAGAAAGGAAUAUGCAUCAUCUGCAUCAUCUGCAUCAUCUGCACCAUCCUCAUCAUCCGCAUCAUCCCAAUCCUCGCUUUGCAUCACCAGAUGAAGCAACUCAGCCAGAGUGCAAGGACAGAGUGACCGUCUUCACCAUCUUCACAUCUAAUGAUAUCCUGAAGAAGAUAAUUGAGGGUGACACCUUAUGUGGAAUAUAUAUGCGUCCCACAGCCCGCGCUGCUUGGUGUCGGUCUCUGAAUUCAUAACACAAACGAACAGAAGACAAAAAUCGUUUGCAGAUUCUGAAAGGAAGGAUUUCGACAGGAGAGAUGUUUAGAACGUGCUAGUCUGGGAAGCUGGAGAGGAGGCGGUCCUUAAAACCAACCAAUCAAAGACCUGGAAAGGGAAGCUUCCCAAGCACCCGCCCCCUCGGGAACAUCUGCUCUCCCCCUUGAAUGGAUUUUUCUAACCUGCCCCAACUCCAAAUUGAUCAGUUAAUUAAGCUGAUCUCUAGGAGGCUGUUGAGGAACGGGCUCUUUUCUCCUUUUAUGUUCUACAGUUCCAAAUAAACUCUUCAGAGGCACCCACCUCGGGCAGAGGAGCACUCCUUACUAAAAUCCUACUCCUUCUCCUCCUGCACACAAACAGACCCAGUGGUUAUCUGUUGCUAUUUAUUUACGAUUUAUUACUUUUAAAUAUACAAUUGUUGGGUUUUCCCAGGAUUGUUGUAUAUUUGCUGUCUUUAUUUGCUUUGAGGAUUCAAAAGGAACUGGUAGGUCACUAGCUGUGUGUGUGUGUGUGUGUGUGUGUGUGUGUGUGACUUGCUGCAGUGUUACAUUUUAAAGUCACUCCUUUGAUCUACAGGCAGGUGAGUGAUGAGGUAGUUGCUGUGUAUUGUAAUGCGAAGGAUCACCCUCCCAAGUUCUGGUUGCCCCCAGUGAGGAGAAAUCUUCACUUUCACCAAAUGAUGCUAUGUAAUCUUUCUCCCUAGGUUAUCCCUAGUUGGUCAAUAAAGAUGCCUACAGCCAAUCAAGUUGGUCCUGGGCUUGGGGUCUGAGUCAGAGGCCAGGAAGACAGAGAGGGGAAGAGAGAGGAAAAUACCAUGAGGAACACAUUAAGACUCAACCAUGGUGGGAGAAAGUCAUCAGCAGAGGAUGCUGGGAACCAUGACUUCCUGGAGGCAGCUCUUCCACAGGAGCGGAGCCAGUGUUCUCAGCGAAAACAGCCAGGACCUACCACCAUUCAGGAAACAAAUAUAUGACCCUGCACUCAGCUAGGAAGGGCGAACUUCAGAGGUCCCUGGAGCGCUCUUCCCACACUGGAAAGACAGGAACUGGAAAGGCAUUUCCACGAGCGUGCCUUUCAGACUUGACUGUUGCCUACAGCCAGAAUUACAUGUUGCAGCUCCACCCAGACUGUACAUAAGCACACAUAGGCUACUGAAACAAGCAUUCCAGAAAAAUCACUUCCCCUUGUUGGGUUGAAGUGGCUUUGGUUUGGUCUAUUCUGUUCUAUUCUAGUCUAUUCUGUCUAGUUCUGGUCUUUAUCAAAGCUAUUUAAAAGUGCUUGCCCAGAUCAUUCAUGAAAUGAUUUCCUGGCUCAUUAAUGGGUUGUAACUCAUAGUUUAAAACACGCUGGAGCUGGGCAGGCAGGUGUGGAGCUAUGUCAUGCUAGCCAUUGCUCCAGAUCAGUAGCUCUCAACCUUCCUAUGCUGUGACCCUUUUAACACAGUUCCUCAUGUUGUAGUGACCCCAACUAUAAAAUUAAUU
rnacentral:lncRNA from 1 species